CCAAUAGGCCCUUAGACACA
rnacentral:tRNA from 1 species